GCGACAGACAAUAAGGAGUUGGCUGCAACAGAUUGAUGCAUCAAGAAGGGGAGUAGAAACUAUACGAUCAACCGUGCCGAAAACUAGAGCCCAGCAUUCAACUGGAUCGAGAGGCACUCUUUCCAUCAAAAAAAUAUUCCUCCCCCACCUUCGGUAGCAGAGCCUAGUUUCUCGCAUCUUGUAGUCACCACGGAUGCGCAGAUUGCUA
rnacentral:lncRNA from 1 species